UACGUAGGCAGCAAGCGUUGUUCGGAAUUAUUGGGCGUAAAGAGCUCGUAGGCGGUUUGUCACGUCUGCUGUGAAAACUGGAGGCUCAACCUCCAGCCUGCAGUGGGUACGGGCAGACUAGAGUGCGGUAGGGGAGAUUGGAAUUCCUGGUGUAGCGGUGGAAUGCGCAGAUAUCAGGAGGAACACCGAUGGCGAAGGCAGAUCUCUGGGCCGUAACUGACGCUGAGGAGCGAAAGCAUGGGGAGCGAACAGG
rnacentral:rRNA from 1 species